GAUGAACGCUGGCGGCGUGCCUAAUACAUGCGAGUCGAGCGAACGGACGAGAAGCUUGCUUCUCUGAUGUUAGCGGCGGACGGGUGAGUAACACGUGGAUAACCUACCUAUAAGACUGGGAUAACUUCGGGAAACCGGAGCUAAUACCGGAUAAUAUUUUGAACCGCAUGGUUCAAAAGUGAAAGACGGUCUUGCUGUCACUUAUAGAUGGAUCCGCGCUGCAUUAGCUAGUUGGUAAGGUAACGGCUUACCAAGGCAACGAUGCAUAGCCCACCUGAGAGGGUGAUCGGCCACACUGGAACUGAGACACGGUCCAGACUCCUACGGGAGGCAGCAGUAGGGAAUCUUCCGCAAUGGGCGAAAGCCUGACGGAGCAACGCCGCGUGAGUGAUGAAGGUCUUCGGAUCGUAAAACUCUGUUAUUAGGGAAGAACAUAUGUGUAAGUAACUGUGCACAUCUUGACGGUACCUAAUCAGAAAGCCACGGCUAACUACGUG
rnacentral:rRNA from 1 species